GUUCGCUUCGGCAGUACAUAUGCUAAAAUUGGAACGAUACAGAAAAGAUGAGAAUAGCUCCUGCGAACGGAUGAUCCUGGUUGGUACGACGUUAGAUUCGCGUCA